GAUGAACGCUGGCGGCGUGCCUAAUACAUGCAAGUCGAGCGAACAGACGAGGAGCUUGCUCCUCUGACGUUAGCGGCGGACGGGUGAGUAACACGUGGAUAACCUACCUAUAAGACUGGGAUAACUUCGGGAAACCGGAGCUAAUACCGGAUAAUAUACUGAACCGCAUGGUUCAAUAGUGAAAGACGGUUUUGCUGUCACUUAUAGAUGGAUCCGCGCCGCAUUAGCUAGUUGGUAAGGUAAUGGCUUACCAAGGCAACGAUGAGUAGCCGACCUGAGAGGGUGGUCGGCCACACUGGAGCUGAGACACGGUCCAGGCUCCUACGAGAGGCAGCAGUAGCGAAUCUUACGCAGUGGGCGGAAGCCUGGCGGAGCAACGGCACGUGAGUGAUGAAGGUCUUCGGAUCGUAAAACUGUGUUAUUAGGGAAGAACAAAUGUGUAAGGAACUGAGCACGUCUUGACGGUACCUGAACAGAAAGCCACGGCUAACUACGUG
rnacentral:rRNA from 1 species